GGUGACAGGGGAAAGGAGCUAUCCCCAGGAAAUUCAUUGGACGGAGUUACAACACAACAACAGGAGGUUGUGCGAGGGACAGUGUUGUUAUACAUGGCGAUGUCAUUUAUGAAAAAUUAUACAGCAAACAGCUUAGAAUACACUUUGCACACCAGAAGGCCUUUGAGGACGGACGAGACACGUACGUUGAUCCAGAGACUGACUAUACAGUGUUCACCAGACUGGCACAUCUGAGGAGGGGGACAUGUUGUGGUUCUGCCUGUAGACAUUGUCCAUACGGCCAGGUACGGGUGAAAGACGACGCUCUUAAAAAGGCGUUCAAUUCAUCGUUUUACGGCUAGAGUUUGGAGUUUCCUACUGGAUCCAGACGACGUGUGAAAUGUACUCCACAACUGUUGAACCUGCUCAUACUCUAGGUUUCACACUACAAGGAAUGUUUAAGUUACAGCACAUUUCAGAGCUGAACCACACUGAACAUGAAUCAUUCAUGGAAUAGGUGGCAUAGAAUAUUUAAAUCAUGAACAUGAACAUUUUUUAUAGAAAAUCACAACUUAGAAGAUGGUCGAACCAAAUACAAUGCGUAUGUAGUGAUGAUAAUGAUAAAUUAUCAUAUAGCCAGGCGCCGCGGACCAAUCAGAAGGCCGCGUUCCACGUUGGUUAUGACGCCGUAACACGUAGAUUCAGG